CAUCUUCUGAUAAUAUAUUCUUAUGUCGUAAAUUUAUAAUGAAAUGACCAAAAAUUAAUUUUUAGAAAUGCAUGAAGAAAACCUGUCUUUCUUUGGUACAAUACUUAUUUCUUUCCUAUCAAUCUUUAAAAAUACAUCAGGAAGAUCUAAUAGUAUAGAUUUUAAAGAUUGUAUUGAAAAUAAAGAAGAAACAUAAUCCUCCAAUCUCUAAUCCCAGAUGUUAUAAAUCCUCAAAAAUCUUAUCUAUCAUAGUCGGAUAAAAAAUAAAAAAAUAUUUAUAUUUUCUAAAGAAAAAACUAUGAUACUUAUCUAACGAAAGAUAAAUCCUGUACCUAUCAAGGAUUUUUUUUUUACAGAGUAAAACUAUAUCCAGGCAAUUUGUAUGAAUUCAGAACAACAUGAAAGUACGAAAUAUUUUCAUUUCUAAUUCUAAAAAAUACAUUUUUGGGUAUGGUAUAUUUCAAAUAACUACUACAAUUAGAAAUUAAAUUUAAUGAAAAUUUUGUAAGUUAUUAAAAUAUUAAUAAGAAUUCAAUUAGAAUUAAGCGUUGGGUUUCGUCCAUAACUCUGGAAGUACUUUUAUGCAUUUAUAGUAUUUUUUUGAACUGUGAACAUUAUUUGUAAUUUCUCUUUGUGAAAAAAUUGAUAAACUAAAAACUUGCUUCUUAAAAAUAUAUCAAGGAGUAGUGCUAUAGUUAGUGCAUCUAUUAGGUCGUAUCAUUGUCGUUUAAUUUGUAUCAAAAUGAGAUUAGUUGACUUAGUGGAAUAACCAAGCCAGGACAACUUGUUCACAAUCAAUCGAUUACUAUAGUUAUUCAUAUUAAAAGCUGGAAAUUGGCAUCAAAAUAAUUCCUUUCUGAAGUUAUUUGUAAAGAUUUUUGUAUCUAGCAAAAUAAUAAUAAUAAUUAAUUCUAAGGUUUGUGUUUAUAAUAUUUUCAAAAUUCUUCGUCAGUAAAAGUUUUGUAAUAGAUUCGCUCCUAUGAGAUAUUAUAAUAUAAAAGGUAUUAAUUUGAAUUUUACUCGGGAAAUUCCGUUUUCUCGGUCAUCUAAGUAGGAAAACAUAUUCAUUUUUGAUCUUUCAAAAAUGUAUCAUUGUAACAAUACCUUAAAAUGUACAUUUUCUUAUUAACAUAUGAAAUACCUUUCUUUCAUUUCACAGUAUUUAUUAUUGAUCUGAUUCUGGAAUUUCCUGGUAUCUCAAUAAAGAACAAUUUCUUAAUAUUGAGACAACCUAGUAAUAAUAUGUAUUACACUGAGGAAAACGAUUUUUAUCAUAUGGACUUUUAUAAGUGGGUUGAACUCCUCUAUGAGCACAGAAUUCAAAACUGAUCUCAGUUUUUCUCUCAUUGGUUUUUGUAUGAUUUGAGUAUAUAUUAUUUUGGGUUAAUAUCGUUGCGAAUCAUUUUUUGCCUCAAAGACAAUCAGAAAAUUAAAGAUACAAUUAAUAUAACUUGUAUACAACUGUUAAUAAUUUCCAAAAUUAUUGUAUGGUAUCUAUUCAUAGUUACAUAUGGAUAGAAAUGAUAUUUUAAGUCUUUUAUUUUCUUUUAUAAUAUUACUGGGUUUUCAUAUCCUUAUGACGGAUGAUUAAUUAUUUAUCAAAGUAUUAGUAUUUGAUAUACUAAUACUGACUGCAGGGUAAGACAGAUAGAUUUUGACGUCAUAAAGAAUAUUAACACAAUAUUAUACAAUAAAUUAUAUGAUUAAUCGUAAUAAUAUAUACAUUUUGACGUGACUAUUAAAAAGCGUGGUGGAAGUCAAACAUCAGUCAGAAAAGCGUUUGGUAUAACCUUGUUUUUCUAUUAACCUUGCUCUUUCCUAAUUCUUAGAGAAUAUAGCAGUCCAAGGUUAAUAGAAAUACAAGGAUAUACCAUAACAUGUUUACGACUGAUGUUUGACUUCCACCACGCUUUUAAUAGUGACACCAUAGUGUAAAAGUAGUCGCGUGUUUUGUUUACAUUUUUCAUCUUAUAAAAAAAGAAACAAUCUACAUUCUUGAUUCUACAUGUUGACAAGGUCUUCAUUUUAUCAAAAAACAUUACACCCAUUGAGGAUCUUCCACGUCGUAGUGAAGCAUAUGAAGCUAAGUCUCAGUUUCUACAGAGGAUCACUUUGCCAUAGUGGACUACAGAAAGGGACGAAGAAUAUUGUCGGAUUUCACACAAAUCCAUUAGGAAAAUUAAAUUGAAGGCUUAUUCGUUAUUCUAUGUUAACUCUUCACCUUUGAAUAAUCUAUUCUAUCAUUCAAUCCAGGAACAUUAUAUUCAAUCUAUAUAUAUUUUAAUUACUUAUAAGUUAUUUGUAAGGACUGUCAUUUGGUAGGAUGUCUAUAAAUUAAUAUUAACAUUCUUCAUCAAAUAGAAAAUACUAGAUGAAGACUCCUUGGAGAAUGUGUGGAGUUCAAUCAAACAAAAGAUCGUGUUACUUCAACACUCCCAGCAUUAAAGAAUAGGAUACUUUUCCACAAUUAUGCUGAUGAGUCGAUCCAUCACAUAUGGUUCGGUAUCAAAAAGUUACCAUGAAACUGAAUGAAAUGCUUCUCUAUUUUUUUACAAAAUUCCAAAAAAGAUUCCGAUGGUCAAGGCAGUCCCCCUCUUGACAAUGUUUUAAGUCAUGGACUUGGAGGAACUUAGAUGCUGGAAGUAUUACACCACAGAGUGCGAAAUUUUUGGUGUAACGAUUUCCCACAUAUUGAGCAACAUAAAUAUAUCCUUCAUUUUUACAGAUUUUAAGAAGAUGUAAAUCAUUAGAUGGUUGUUCUAUUGUAUUUUCAUCAUUAUUCAUAUCUUCCUCAAUCUCACCAUUGAUUUGAUGAUUUGAGAAUAAAUUAUAUCAUCAAAGUC
rnacentral:lncRNA from 1 species